CUGUGAGCCGUGUUAACCGGACAUGAUGGAGAUGAUGAACGCAGGGAUUUUUCCGGUUUCGUCCUGCGGCCAACGAACUGGCAGCCGAGCGUCCCACCCAUCCGGCUC
rnacentral:sRNA from 2 species